UGUUUGUUGAACACAGGAUGUAUGAAUGACGGCUAGGGAGCCAAGGAUGGGGAUGGUGGCGACAUCUGAUACUGUUGUAGUAAAACUCCAGCCAAGGAACACGAAGAGACCUUUGGAGACCAAAGAGAACUUUAUUUAAUUCAGGCACCUGAGCCAACAGCAGGCUCAUGCCCAAAAUGGCUGCCGACCCCUGCAAAGAAAGCAGGCUGGCUUAAGUGCCGUUUGAGGCGGGAAAACAAGGCAGGUUACAGGUUUCAGACAAAGACAGUAAAUUAUCCAACCCGUGACAAUUCGGAGAGAACUUACAAUUUAGUUAUUUUGUCCAGUCAACUUUGAAGCUGAACAGAGCUGGGUAUCUCUUACCAUCCGGCCCAGGCAGCAGCCAGCCCUGCCUGGGCCGCGGCCGCCGGCCUCAUGAGCCUGGCAUUCCUGUCGCCCCCUCUCCCAUAGCUUGCCUCCUCCUUCUCACAGUCGGGCGCCCGGCUCCUCGAGACGCAGGACCACCUCAGAUCUCCAGUCCUGCACCUGCCGGCUGAGCAAACGAGGAGACGGGGAGAAAAGCUGUCUGUCGUUCCUGAAGGAACAGGACCUCCGCACUCCAAGAAGGAAUCCGGCGCCCAGUGGGGGCUGCAGGAGCAGAGGACCGUGGCGGCAGUAGCAGGAGAGGCAGGAGUAGGAGCAGUGGCUUCUCUGGAGGUGGCACUGUCUGCCCCCUUGAGCCUCUUCCUAACGCAGUCUUGAUUCAAAAUCCCUGCUCACCACGGAUGCACAGUCACAGCUGAAGAUUGUAGUUAUCUAGGAGGAUUCUUUCUUAGUUGUAAAUCUAUGUUUUAUAUAGGAGUUUUUUCGUUGUUUCUCUCAUUCUUUUUUGAAAUUUCAUAUUACUAUUUUUUUUUUUUUUUUGGUAAGUUCCUUGACAUUCGUGUUUUGUGAGUUUGGUUUUACCUACGUAUUAUGAUUUUGGAUGUAAAUCUGCAACUCUAUAUACAUGUUAAGUCAAUGUGAUGUUUAAUCAAAAUAUGAAUCAGCCAUAUCUACCACCAAUAAAAUCGUGUGUUUGUUUGCCUCUAUAAAUAUAGUCUAUUUCUUCUUAAUUAUCUUGCAUAUUUCUCUUCUUGGCUGGUG
rnacentral:lncRNA from 10 species